GACUACCGGGGUAUCUAAUCCCAUUCGCUCCCCUGGCUUUCGUUCCUCAGCGUCAGUAACAGCCCAGCAAGGCGCUUACGCCACCGGUGUUCCUCCCAAUAUCUACGCAUUUCACCGCUACACUGGGAAUUCCCCUUGCCUCUUCUGCACUCUAGCUUGCCAGUAUCCGGUGCGAAACCGGGGUUGAGCCCCGGGCUUUAACACCAGACUUGACAUGCCGCCUACGAACUCUUUACGCCCAAUGAUUCCGGACAACGCUCGCAUCCUACGUCUUACCGCGGCUGCUGGCACGUAGUUAGCCGAUGCUUCCUUUGUGGGUACCGUCAAAAUUCGUCCCCACUGACAGAGGUUUACGCUCCAAAGAACUUCAUCCCUCACGCGGUGUUGCUGCGUCAGGCUUUCGCCCAUUGCGCAAAAUUCCCCACUGCUGCCUCCCGUAGG
rnacentral:rRNA from 1 species